GAUGAACGCUGGCGGCGUGCCUAAUACAUGCAAGUCGAGCGAACGGACGAGAAGCUUGCUUCUCUGAUGUUAGCGGCGGACGGGUGAGUAACACGUGGAUAACCUACCUAUAAGACUGGGAUAACUUCGGGAAACCGUAGCUAAUACCGGAUAAUAUUUUGAACCGCAUGGUUCAAAAGUGAAAGACGGUCUUGCUGUCACUUAUAGAUGGAUCCGCGCUGCAUUAGCUAGUUGGUAAGGUAACGGCUUACCAAGGCAACGAUGCAUAGCCGACCUGAGAGGGUGAUGGGCCACACUGGAACUGAGACACGGUACAGACUCCUACGGGAGGCAGCAGUAGGGAAUCUUCCGCAAUGGGCGAAAGCCUGACGGAGCAACGCCGCGUGAGUGAUGAAGGUCUUCGGAUCGUAAAACUCUGUUAUUAGGGAAGAACAUAUGUGUAAGUAACUGUGCACAUCUUGACGGUACCUAAUCAGAAAGCCACGGCUAACUACGUG
rnacentral:rRNA from 1 species